CGAAUAUAUAUUACACAAAAUUGUUCUUUACCAUAACUCCAAAUGCAAUUAACAAGAAGAUAAAUCGAAACCAAAUCUCGAACUCCGUAAAUGCUGGAUUGUAAUUCUUGAACUAUGAACAGUGCUUACUGACGUAGAAUGUGAGAUCGCGUAUGUUAUAACGUUGGUGGAAGCUCUCGAGCCCAUGAAAGUGAACAGUAAUAAUGUAAUAACUGUAAUCGAGAAAUCCUAGAUGAGCAACUACAAGUUCUUCGCACAUUUGCCUUUCACAUUUUAAGUGUCUGGUCCUAAAAAGAGAAGAGAAAAUACACAAUACCAAAUAUUUAACAUUGUAUAAUCUUGUCAAACAGUGAACUGUGCUAUACAGGCUCUAGACGUACCUAUUAUGGCCAGCUUCCGAGGACAAAACAGGUAUGAGUUUAUGAUCAGUGGUGAUACCAUCUAUGGAGAUGCUUAUCUGAAAACUUUUGUCGUACCUUUCAUCUGUAAAAUUCAAAACAUAUAAUCUCAAUUUUAUUA